GUGGUCUGUGAUGAUGUCUUUCCACCAUUACUUCGAGUGUCAUGGCCAUGAGAUAAUCCUACAUGCACUACCAUCUGAGACCAC
ensembl:snoRNA SNORD33 Small nucleolar RNA Z195/SNORD33/SNORD32 family